UUCCUGAUGUUAAGUGCAAGCGCUCUGCCCUUCUCUUCAUCCUCCGUCGCCCGCGUGCGUCUCCUUCACAUGCAUGAGCUCUCACCUGCGAGGAUGAGCUUGCGUCUUCUCUGGCUCGGCCUGAGCGCGCUGUGGCUGGCGGGCGACACGCAGGCAGCGGUGACCAUUGAUCAGGUGACGCUGACAGUGCUUCCUGCUAAUAAUGUGGACAGUGGCACUAAUGUGAUCUUCCGUUGUGAGGCCAGCGUCAGUCAGAGCCUCCCUCAGCCGCCAACAUACUCCUUCAAACUCCUGCAGGAUGAUCAGGUCGUAUACUCCAAAAAUACCAGCCACUCACUAAUGGAGCGCAGUUUGCCUUCUGCCAGGGUGUCCAACACUGGUCGCUACCACUGCAGCGUCCACGUCUACGACAAGCACAAGACAAGCAACGUCCUUACAUUAAGCGUUACAGGUCUUCAGAUCCCCAUGCUGAAGGUGAAGUCUGACAUCGUGUCCGAAGGGGAAGACAUUACUGCCACGUGUAGUGCACCAGAGGAGACGGGCAGUCUGAUGUUCUACUUCUACGAGAAUGACCUGGAGGUCAAGAGAGGCGUUAGUCCCACCAACUCUAUUCUGACCAUUCUGACCACGCAGAAACUUACAGAAAUCUACCUGGAAUGUGCCUAUAGGGUUAUGAUGCACCCUAAUGCUGGCCUUUCCAACAAAAGCAACGUCGUGAAAGUCAUUGUACGAGAUCUUGAUGAGAUCACCCCACAGAUAAGCAUCUCACCAAAAGGAAAUGUUGUUGAGGGUGACAGGGUGCAGAUCGCUUGUAAGGUGCAAUAUCCUUCAAAUCUUGAGUUGUACCUCACUAAAGGCAGCAACAUACUUCAGAAAUCUCAUACAACAUUCACACAGAGCCUUGUAGUAAGAGCUGACGAUUCAGGGGACUAUGUGUGUAAAGCAGAGAAAGGCAGUGUGCAAAAGAAGGCAGUCUAUCAUCUAAAUGUUGCAGAACUGUUCUCGAAGCCGAUUUUGCGAAUGAGCCCCGUCCAGGUUUUCGAAGGAGAAAGUUUUAGUCUGACCUGCAGCAGUAAUGUAAUAUCCUCAGUGAAGAUCGGAAAAGCAGACAUAAAGUAUGCUUUGCUGAAAGAUGGUCGACAAAUUUCUGCAGUUGCAAAACACGAAGAAAUUGCAAGCCCUGGAACCAAUGGGAGAUACUACUGUAUGGCAAUGGCUAAAGAUAUUAACAAGACCAGCUCAGCACUCUAUGUAAAAGCUAAAGUGCCUGUCUCUGCCCCAGUCCUUCGAGCUGUUGAUAAGGUGAUCGUUGGGAAGCCGUUCAGGCUUUCAUGUGAGGCAGAAAACGGAACGCUUCCAAUAACCUACACCUUACUGAAGACCCGCUUUCAACUGGAUACGAGGACAGUGGUUGAGGCAACCGACAAGGCGGUUUUUAACAUAACCUCCAUCAAUUUUCCAGAAGAGAUCAGCAGCUUCACAUGCCAGGCUCAUAACCGUGGGUCAUCGUUCAGUAGAAUCAGUGAGCCCCUUAGAGCACCAGUCAUAGUACCCGUUUCCAGGCCAGUUCUGGAGCCCAAGGAGGUUACAGUCAUGGAGGGGUCAGAUCUCCCCCUCAUCUGCCGUGUACAACAGGGCACUAAACCCAUCACCUUCACCUGGUAUCAUAACAGAGUUAUGCUCGCUUCCAAACAAGAGUUCAUAUUCUUAGAAGCAAGACACGUCGUCCAAGACAUCAAUCGUGACCAGAAAGGCGACUACUACUGUGAGGCGUCCAAUUCCGCCUCUGAAACCAAAAAGAGCUAUCCAGCUAUAAUUGGUGUCAGUUUAGCGAUUUGGAAGAAGGCUCUUAUUGGAGUGUUCUGCAUCUUGCUUUUGGUGGCUAUCGUCAUAGUCCUGGCAGUAUUUUUUAAGAAAAUGUCCCAUCCACGCAGAAAAAAGCAAGCAACUGAGUUAUCAGUAAAACCUUCAAGGCCCAAAUCAGGUGACCCAAUGAGAGUAAGCCUUACUCUCGACAUUGAAGACAACACCGCUCUUAAUGGAACUCCCUGUGUGAUGGGCAGGAACGUAUGGAGUGAAAAUGCAUCUGGCUCAGAUUCUGACGAUCAUACUGAUGAAGGCUCAGAGCUGGUUAAGCCGCAGGAAGAGGAUCCCAGCAGAGGUGAGUUGCAAGAAUUUCAAAGAUCUUCAACAGUCAAUGAAUCCCUCAGAUGGCAUCGCUUUGAAAAAUCUAAGAUCCCGUGACGAAAAGCAUAGACCCGGAAUACAGUGUUCAACACACAGAGGUCCAUGUGUCCACACCAGGAGUUUCGGAACAUGCUGAGGGCCAGGCAGCUCUGGAAUAUGCACAACUCAACAACAGUGAACAAGAACCUGCGUAGAUCCUCAACACUUACUCUUAAUUUAUUCGGUUUCUCCACCACCAGAAGCUGAUUUUCAUUCAUGAUGCGCUUACAAUAAAUAUUGUACUUUGUUGAUGUUAUUAGCAUUACUUUGUGGCUUAGGUUGUUUUUUUUUUAAGUGAGUAAAUGUUUGUUGUGAUGUUUAUACAUGAGGGAUUAAAAUCUGUCAAAUCA